AUUGAACGCUGGCGGUAGGCCUAACACAUGCAAGUCGAGCGGAAGCACGGUGCUUGCUCCUGGAUACAGCGGCGGAGGGGCGGGCAGUGCCUGGGAAUCUCCCUGUCAGCGUUGGAGAAGGUCCUGAAAUGGGCGCUAAUACGGCAUACCCGCUGAGGGAGUACGUGUGGGAGCUUGGGACCUUCCGAUAUCGCGUGAGCCUAGGUCGGAUUAGCUAGUUGGUGGGGUAAAGGCCUACCAAGGCGACGAUCCGUAACUGGUCUGAGAGGAUGAUCAGUCACACUGGAACUGAGACACGGUCCAGACUCCUACGGGAGGCAGCAGUGGGGAAUAUUGGACAAUGGGCGAAAGCCUGAUCCAGCCAUGCCGCGUGGGUGAAGAAGGUCUUCGGAUUGUAAAGCACUUUUGGUGGGGAGGAAAAGCAGUAAGUUAAUACCUUGCUGUUUUGACGGUACCAACAGAAUAAGCACCGGCUAACUUCGUG
rnacentral:rRNA from 1 species